UACGUAGGGCGCAAGCGUUGUCCGGAAUUAUUGGGCGUAAAGAGCUCGUAGGCGGCUUGUCACGUCGGAUGUGAAAGCCCGGGGCUUAACUCCGGGUCUGCAUUCGAUACGGGCUAGCUAGAGUGUGGUAGGGGAGAUCGGAAUUCCUGGUGUAGCGGUGAAAUGCGCAGAUAUCAGGAGGAACACCGGUGGCGAAGGCGGCUCUCUGGGCCAUUACUGACGCUGAGGAGCGAAAGCGUGGGGAGCGAACAGG
rnacentral:rRNA from 1 species